rnacentral:rRNA from 1 species
GAUGAACGCUGGCGGCGUGCCUAAUACAUGCAAGUCGAGCGAACAGAUGAGGAGUUUGCUCCUCUGACGUUAGCGGCGGACGGGUGAGUAACACGUGGAUAACCUACCUAUAAGACUGGGAUAACUUCGGGACACCGGAGCUAAUACCGGAUAAUAUAUUGAACCGCAUGGUUCAAUAGUGAAAGUCGGUUUUGCUGUCACUUAUAGAUGGCUCCGCGCCGCAUUAGCUAGUUGGUAAGGUAACGGCUUACCAAGGCAACGAUGCGUAGCCGACGUGAGAGGGUGAUCGGCCACACGGGAGCGGGGACACGGACCAGACUCCUGCGGGAGGGAGCAGUAGGGAACGUGCGGCAAUGGGCGAGAGCCUUACGGAGCGAGGGCGCGUGAGUGAUAACGGUCUCCGGAGCGUAAAGCUCUGUUAUUAGGGAAGAACAAAUGUGUAAGUAACUGUGCACGUCGUGACGGUACCUAAACAGAAAGCCACGGCUAACUACGUG